CAUGAAGCUCAGAAAAAGAAAAAGAAAGAAAGAAAAAAAGCAGCAGCAGAAAGAGCAAAGAGCUUUGCGACAAUGUUGGUUAAGAGAAUGGAGAUUUGCAUAGAGCUAGUGAAAUUCGCUAUAAAGUUUGUCAUUGCUCAGGUCGAGAAGGUGAUAAACGAAAACCUCCGCCACCGCAGGCCGCCCCCGCCGGUGGCAAUGAGGAUGCGGUCUUUGUCCCCUCCGCUCCCAAUCGUCGGGCCUUUUUAAAGAAUUCUGUUUUUGUAAAAAAAAAAAAACAUUGCAGGUUUCGACCAUUUGGUAAUUUGCUCUUUCUAUUGCUAGCACUGGUUUCGAGAUUUGAAUGAUAAUGCCGUUAAAAUAUUUUCUAUUGCACUUUCUGUAUUUUAGAAUAUUUUCUAUUUUUAUUUUCAGGAAUUUAACGGAUUUUCAUUUUUCAUGAUUUCAGAUAUAAAUGAUAAUGCCGUUAAAAUUUUUAUGUUAAAUUCACUUGUAUUAUAUAUAUAUUUUUUAAAAAAGUACUCACUAGAUUGCUGUGUAAUAAAGAAAAUGACAUUGUAAUAAAUCUUAAUUUAAUAGAAAAUUGUUAACGGUAUUAAUUAUUGGAGUUGUAUUUUUAAAUCUUAAAAGUAGAAUGAAUAAUUUAUUUGAAAUAAAAGUAGAGGGAUUAUAUUUUGAAUUUAUGAACGGUACGGAGAUUUAGGCAUAUUUUAACAUUUUUGUUUCUAUCAAACUACAGUAUUGUUUAGGUUUAAUAUAUCAUUUGGUACCCAAGUUCGAUACUUUUUUCUAAUGCGGUACUUGUAUUAUUUUUUUUAUCCACUCUAAUAUUUACAUUUGACAAAAGUUAUAUAUUUUAUUACCCAAAGGUAACGAUAACUUAGAAAAUUGGCCCUAACGACAUCGGGCAAGGGCUAUUACCUACCAAGCUUAUACACUUAGAAAAUUGGCCACUAGGAAUAACCUGCAUUGAACCAGGUAUGGUGCCCUUUAAACUGCAAUUCCGCAACCCACAUUUAAAUUGCAUGGUGAGAUUGGCAAAAUCCCAUACAAUUGGCCCUAACGACAUCAACCAUUGAAUACCUAGCACCACAUCAAACCCUUUGACUGAUAACACCAAAAAAUCAGUAACACAUUUAUAACCUUGUGCCUCCCAUACAAUAGCUCUACAAAGUCCAUGAGUGUUUAAUUUCACCCCGUUUGCCACCAACACUUUCAAACUAGGCUCAGGUUCGAUGACCAGCUUCAACCUUCUAGCUACCUUGAAAUCAAUAAAAUUGUGUGUACUACCAAAGUCUACCAAAACCACCACCUCACAUUGGUCAAUAGUUACUGGAAACCGCAUGGUAUUGUGUCCCUGUGAUCCAUGUAAGGCAUGUAAUGACAAUACAGGAGAUGAAUUCCCAAAUCAUAAUUCUGUUGUUUCCAACUGCUCAGGACAGUCCUGAAAAUCCUCUUGAACAGGACUUCUUAUGUCUGGACAACUGUCCUCCCAUGGUUCCACAACCAACUGGUACAUUUGAGACUUCGAGCAUUUAUGGCCUGGAGAAUAUUUAAGACCACACCAAAAACAAAGCCCCUUCUUCCUCCUAUCCUCUAAUUCGGCCUAAGACAAGGACUUUGAGGGUACUCUAAAAUUAGACUUCCCAUUUGUUGACUCACUUGUUGAAUUUAAACUACUGCUUCCCCUAAAACUCCGGGUCACAAGAAGUAAGGGUCUGCCCACUGGACUACCACUAGUAAGCAGAUUUUCUUUUUUGACUGGUUCGUGUACAAUAUUCUCCACCUGUCUCGCUAGGUUGUACCCCUCUACCAGUGUUUGAGGUUUAAACAACCUAAGGUAUUGACCUAUCACUGGCUUGAGAUUGCUGAGGAAAAUGCUCAAGGCGUAAGGUUCAGGAAGGUUCAACUGAUGCAAUAAACUUAAAAACCCAUCAUGAUACUGGUCUACAGAACCAAGUUGCUUGAGGGUCACCAGUUCUGCCAUGGGAUCCAAAAAAGAGUCCAAUCCAAAGCGCUCCUUAAGUCCCCUCGCAUAAAUUUCCCAAGACAGUUGAUAUAGUCCCCCAUGUCGCAGAGCAAAAAAAUGAUGCCAAUCAAGAGCCUUACCUUCUAAAUGCAACAUAACCAACCGCACCUUUGCGUGAUCCCCAAUUCCCUCCUCUUCAAAGUACUGCUCAAGCUUGGACCACCAACCUCGAAAGUUCUCAUCAUUGAAUGACGGACAUUCCAUCCUAAAAGUGGAACGAUCAGCUUCCACCAUCACCCCACGUGAAGACAUACUUGAAUGACCUAGCUCUGCCAUUGGAGAUACUACUAAGUGCUUCUAAGAUGAGAACCCAUGUGGUGUUCCCAAAAUUUCUUUGCCUUUACUGUUCACCGUUCCGUUCACUGCCAUUGGAGGUCCAUGCCCAAAAUAUUGUUCAAAUAAAGAAUGAAGUUCAGAACGAAGCUCCGUACGUACCUUUAAUUUGAUUCCCUCCUGUAGAUCAUUCAACCGAACAUCAAUUUUUGCAUCCAACUGAGAGAACUCUGUUUGAAUGUGAGUAAGUUCCCCUUGAAUCUAUCCAAGUUCCUUUUGCAUUCUCGUGGUUACGCUGUCGCCUGUCAUGAGGAUCGAGAAGCUCUGAUACCUUUGUUGAAGAAUAAAUCGAGAUCGGACUAGAAAUGAGAAUAGAAUAGAAAAAUUUAGAGAGAAAAGAACAGUGAGAGAAUAUAGACUGAAAACCAGAUUCAAUAUUGCAUGCCUUUCUUUCAUUCUGUUACAAAUCAUAUAUGGAAAUCAAUAACUGCUACUGUAAUAGACAAAACGCAUCCGUUUUGACAAUGUAAAACUCACCGUAUCACUAAACCACUUUAAUAAAACGCGACGUUUAACUAACUAUUAUUUUAACAGUCUUAACAGAAAUCUAAACAAAGAUAUGACCGUUAACGACCCAUAACAGAACCAUACCUGGGAGGGGCUUGUGAAGCCUUUCUCUGUUCUGUGCCGAGUGCAGAAUGAAGGAGUAGAGGGGUUCUGGAAGAAGCGGCACAUGCAGGAGGGGAAUAACCUAGGGUUUUUUUAUUAAAAGGUUUUAAAUGGCUUUUUAUGUAGCAUACAAAAACAGUGCCGUUUAAUGGCCAUGGACCUGCGCAUUUUGACCACUGGUGGGCUAUUUACGCGUUGGGUCCUUUGUUUUUUUUGAAGUGUGUUUAAUCAUUUUUUUAAUUUCUUUUCAAUUUCGCUACAUGUUUUAUUACUAUUUCAUUUCAGUCCAUGUUGUUGUGCAGUGUUUGAGAGGUUUGGGUAAAUUUCCCUUUGGGUCCUCCUCAUGUUGCGCGCAUUUUGAUCUGGUCCCUUUUCAUGUUUCCUAUCUUUGAAUUCGGCCCUUAAACUCUAUUUAUUUUCAUUUUAAUCCUUAAUUUGUUGUUUUAGUUUUUUUUUAGUUUUUUCAUAUAUUAUUAAUUAUGUUAUAUUAAUUAUUACUAUUAUAUUAUUUAUUAUUAUUGUUAUUAUUAUUACUAUACCUAUACAUAUAUACGCGCAUAUGUAUUUUAUAAUAUAUAUAUGUAUAUUUCAAAUGUUUUUAAUACAUAUACAUAUUUUUUAUAUAUUUUAUUAUUAUUUUAUUUUCCGCAUUUUUUUAUAUACAUAUAUAUAUACAUAUUUUCAUAAUUUGUUAAUAUAUUAUACUUAUACAUUUUUAUUUUUUUUGUAAAUGCAUGUACAUAUUUUAUAUAUUUUAUUAUUGUUUUAUUUUCAUGACUUUUGUGUACAUAUAUAUAUAUAUAUAUGCAUUAAUAUUUUAUAAUACAUAUACAUCUUUUAUAUUUCAUAAUCCAUGCACAUAUACAUGCAUUUUCAAUAAUAUGUAUUUAUGUACCCUUUUUAGAAUUAUUAUAAGUGUUUUUGUGUAUUUCACGUUUUAAUAUAUGUAUACUUAUAUAUACAUGUUUUAAUAUAUGCAUAUGCAUAUACAUAUUUUCAAAAUUUACUUAUAUAUUAUACUUAUAUAUAUACGCGCAUAUGUACAUACAUAUACAUAUAUGAUUUAAAUUAAAGUAUUUGUUUCAUGUUGUAUAUUAACAUUUUAUCAUACUUUUUAAAGAAAAUAUGUUUGAUUUCACUAAAGCAUUAAAACCAUUUUUUUCAAAGGCUUUUCAAAGGCUUUCAAGAUUGUAAUAUUCGAAAUUUGGGAUUUUUGAGAAGAUUGAGCCCUAACGUAUUGGGUUUCAUUUUUCCUAAUCAACCCUAAAUAAUCUAGAAUAUCUUUUUCAAAACGCAUAAAUAUAAAAAUCAUUUUCGGGAAUUCAACAUGUGAUGUCCUAACGUAUUGGGCAUGACAUAUCGUUUUCUUGAUAUGAGAGUUUUUCCUAUAAAAUAAAAGCGAUAUUCAAAGUUUGGGGAUUUUGAGAAAUUGUACCCUAACGUAUUGGGUCUCGAUUUAUUCGUCUGACUUAAACAAUUGAUUAUCCUUUUUAGAUUUCAUCAUUUGAGUUUUUUUUAAUAUUUUUAAAAUACUUUUUAAAUUUUAAAAUAUUUUAAAAAUAUUUUAAAAAUAUUUUAAAAAUACUUUUUUAAUUUUUAAAUUUUAAAAAUAAAUUUUUGCUAUUUUAUUAAAAAAAUGGGCCGGGCGCGGGCUUAUGAUUUUUCUCGGGCCGGGCCUGGGCAAAAUUUCAGGCCCAUAUUUCUGGCCGGGCCAAAAUUUUUUAUGGGCCCGGCCCAUGAGCACCUCUACCAUCAACCAUACAUUAAUCAAAUAAGCCACAUGUCUUCCUACUAUGUAUAAAUUUAGAAUUUUGUUCUCGUAUUUUUAUUUUAAGGAAUUUAAUUCUAUUUUUUAAAAAUUUUAAAAUUUAAGUCCAACUAUCAAAAUUCUUAAAAUUAUUUUAUUAAAUUUAGAUUCAUUACAACGUCAUUUUUUAUUUACAUAGCUAUUAAGUAUCUUUUUUAUUUCAAAGUAUCACACCAACAAAUUUAACAACAGCAAAAAAAAAAAGUUAAAGAUUAGACUUAAGUUUCGAAAUCUAAAAAGUAGAAUGACUAAAAAUUAUUGAAAAUAAAAGCACAUGAAUUAAAUUAUAAAUUUACGAAAAAUAUAUGAACUUAUGACAUAUUUUAACCAACCAAAUAUUGCGAGAUUCAUGAUUAGGGAUCAUCAAUAUUCUAUGUAUAAUUUUAUAGAAAUUCCGAUAUUUAAUGCUCAUGUUUACCAUGCAUUCAAACAUGAGUUUUUUUCAUAUCUAUUUUAUAGUUCAUAUUUGAAAUUCGUAAUUACCUUUUUCAAUAAUAAUACACUCAUGUAGAACGAGAGUUACACUUAGGGGUAAGUGUUCGAUCGAAUUGGGUGAAAAAUUUCGAAUUAAUUGAGUUGACGAGUUAUAUUUUAUUAUCCUAACCCAAUUUGAAAUAUUUUCGAAUCAAGUCGAGUAAAAUGAAAUUCGAAUUGAAUCGAGUGAAAUUGUUCGAGUUAAAUUAAAAAAUUAAACAUGUCAAAUUAAGAUCUUGUUACAGUAUAACUAAUUUCAUGUUUUAGCAAAUAAAUUUGAAACCAUAUAUAUUUGAAAAAUAUUUCAAAUAAAAAAAGAAGAAGAUACUUUAGUAUGAUAAACUUAUUAAUUAACUUAUUUAGGUCCCAAAAUUAUUAUUUUAGAAAAAUUUUACAUUUUUAACUUUUUUAUAUAUUCUUUAUAAUUCUUUUUUAAAAUUAUUAUAAUUUUAAAAAAAUAUAAAUUUUGAAUUUUUAUAAAUAUUUUGAUUUUUUUUUGCAAUUUUUUGAGAGAGAGACCAAUUUACUUAUUUUCAAAAUUGAUAGGGACCAAAGGGGUGUUUACACCAAUCUAUUAUUUGAAUUGUAAAAUUCAAAUCGAUUCAAACUCAAAGCUCGAAUCACUUAUUCGAGUUGACUCGAAUAACUCGAAUCAAUUAACUCAAAAUUCAAAUUUUUUUCUAUUUUUUCGAAUCGAAUCGAAUUUUACCCACUUCUAGUUACACUUGAGUUCAAAUGAGAUAGUUAGUACGAUAAACCUAUAUUUUAUAAUAUUUACAUGGGUAAAAAUGUACGAUGAAUAUACGCAGUGGUGGAGUGUAGUGUAGAUCAAGAGGGACCAUGGCCCCUCUUAAAAUGGUAAAAUUUUAAUUUAGACAUUUUAUAAUUUAUAAAAUUUUAAAUUAAUAAUGAUAAAAUUACAUUUCGGUCCCUCUAAAAAUAAUAAAAAUUUAAUUUAAUCAUUUAAAAUUUAUAAAAAUAUAAACUAUUAAAACAUUAAAAUUAUAUUUUUAUUAUUGUAAAAUUAUAUAAUUUAAUUUCGUUACCCCUAACAAAGUUUUAGGCUCCACCUAUGAUUGUACGUAUGUAUUUUGGCAUGGGCAUUUAUGCUGUAUACAGUGACAUUUCCAAUUCCUACAUCACAUGAUUUUGAGAUGACUUCAUUUUCAUGCAAAUUUAGGAGGAAAAAGACAAAUCCAAGGGAGCGUCUAAGCGACGCCGUUGAAAAAUGGUAAAUUAUAACUAAGGUCAUUAAACUAUUAGUAAAUUUAUGUUUUGACCACUUAACUUCAAAAAGUUACAAAAUGGUCAUUAACUAUUCGAAAGUUUUCAUUUAAGACAUCGAGUUGUUAAAAUAGUUAUCGUAUGGCCUUAUCUAUUCGCAUCACUUGCACCAAUUGAGAAUCCUCUAUAAUUUGAUUUUUUUCAUGAUACAAAUUUGAAAAUCACGAAUUUACGAACCAAAAUCCAAACAGCUUUCUUCUCUGAUCUCCAAUACUGACUGUCAGAUCGACUUGGAUCUAAGAUAUGUUCUUCUAGUCGUAGUGGGUAUUGAUCCACAGUACCAAUCGUCAAAUCGUCAAAUCGUCACUUGGAGCUCACUAGCCGGACUUUAAAAAACAUUUGAAUAGCUCAAUGACCAUUUUGUAAUUUUUUGAAAUUGAGUAGUCCCUCUAUUAUGUUUAAAUUUAUGAUUUAAUCUCUAUAUUUUAAGCUGACAUAUAUAAUUCAAGGUUGUGUUUUCUUUUUCUUUUUAUUAUUAUAGAUUAGUGGUUAAAUUUCAAUUUUAGUCCCUCUAUUAUGUUUAAAUUUAUGAUUUAAUCUCUAUAUUUUAAGCUGACAUAUAUAACUCAAGGGUUAAAUAGUAAAUUAAACCUCAAAACACUCUUAGCAAUCAUUUAUUAUUUCCUUUUUGUUAAAAUGUGCGUAUAGUCUUUGUAUUUUUCGAAGAUUAGUUUAGCCCCUAUACUUGUAUUUUUAGGAAUUUAGUCUCUUUACUUAUCGUAUUUUAAAAUUUAGGUUCAAAUGUUAACACGGUUAAUUUUUUUUGUUAAAUUAGUUAUUGUGACAUUUUGAAAAAAAAAACUACUCACUUACGAGCCAUGUAAUUAAAAAAAAUGUUGUAACUAACCUGAAUAGUUGGGAUUGAAUUUUAAAAUCUAAAAGAUAGAGACUAAAUUCCUAUAAAUACAAGUAUAAGGACUAAAUUUAUAAAUUUUGAUAAGUACAGGGACUAUUCAUAGAUUUUAACCUUUUUGUUUUCCCACUAAGGCCGUUCAGUGGUAUAUAAACACGAAACGGAUAUCAUGAAGCUCAGAAAAAGAAGAAGAAAAAAAAAAAAAGCAGCAGCAGAAAGAGCAAAGAGCUUUGCGACAAUGUUGGUUAAGAGAAUGGAGAUUUGCAUAGAGCUAGUGAAAUUCGCUAUAAAGUUUGUCAUUGCUCAGGUCGAGGAGGUGAUUAACGAAAACCUCCGCCACCGCAGGCCGCCCCCGCCGGUGGCAAUGAGGAUGCGGUCUUUGUCCCCUCCGCUCCCAUUCGUCGGGCCUCUUUAAAGAAUUCUGUUUUUGUAAAAAAAAAACAUUGCAGGUUUCGACCAUUUGGUAAUUUGCUCUUUCUAUUGCUAGCACUGGUUUCGAGAUUUGAAUGUGUACUAAACUGUUCAAUUGUACUUUCUGUAUUUUAGAAUUUAUUCUAUUUUUAUUUUCCGGAAUUUAAUGGAUUUUUAUUUUUCAAAAUUUCAGAUAUAAAUGAUAAUGCCGUUAAAAUUUUUAUGUUAAA
rnacentral:lncRNA from 1 species